UAUAGCGAAAGCUAGUUGCAUUAACUAACUGUUAAUGCAGCAGCGACUAUGUCGUGUAAAGUUCAGGGUAGAGUUAUGAUAAUGACAUUCCCUACCUGUGUGUNUCGACCAAAUUACGUGCCAGCAGUCGCGGUAAUACGUUGGAGACUAGUGUUAGUCGUCUUUAGUAGGUUUAAAGGGUACCUAGACGGUUAUUUCAGCCCCCAAAGGGUACUGUUUAGACUAGAGUUUUAUGAGAGGGGGGGUGUACUAAUGGUGUAGAGAUGAAAUUCUGUCAUACCAUUAAGACAGGCAACAGCGAAGGCAACCCUUUAUGUAUAAACUGACGUUGAAGGACGAAGGCUUGGUCCACCAAUAGGAUUAGAUACCCUAGCAGCCUAAGCAGACAAUGAUGAAUGCCAUAGACUAAAAAAUAUGUACUGACAAAUUUGUGUUUGCGUUUGCAACCAGUCAGUCGUUCGAUGAUGGUAGCAAUAAAAAGAAAGAAAAAAGAUUAAAAUAAUUUCUUUUUUUUAUUUUUUAUUAUUGCUAUAGAGGUUAUAUAUUACUCGUAAGAGUGUAAUAAUAAUCUUUAAAUUAUACGAAUUCUAUUGUGUAUGUUUUUUUUUGUCUAUAAAUGAAAGUGUAAGCAUUCCACCUCAAGAGUAACGUGGCAACGCGGAAACUGAAAUCAUUAGACCGUUUCUGAAACCAGUAGUGAAGUAUGUUGUUUAAUUAGAUGAUCCGCAAAACACCUUACCACAAUUUGUAUGUUUAGAGAUAAAUACAAGAGUUGCACGGCUGUCUUCAGUUAAUGUCGUGAGAUUUUGGUUAGUUCCAUUAAAUUAACGUAAACCCUUACUUUAUUUUAGUAAAUAGAGUAGUUCACCGCUAUACUGGAUAUGAUAAAAGGGACUAAGACAAGUCAUCAUGGCCUGAAUAUUGUGGGCUAUA
rnacentral:rRNA from 1 species